CAUGCCCUACGGGGGGCAGCAGUGAGGAAUAUUGGUCAAUGGCCGGAAGGCUGAACCAGCCAUGCCGCGUGAAGGUCAGUGCCCUAUGGGCGUUAAACUUCUUUUGUGCGGGAGCAAUAAUGGUCACGUGUGGCCAGACGAGAGUACCGUACGAAUAAGCAUCGGCUAACUCCGUGCCAGCAGCCGCGGUAAUACGGGGGAUGCAAGCGUUAUCCGGAUUUAUUGGGUUUAAAGGGUUCGUAGGCUGGUAGGUAAAUCAGCGGUGAAAUGCCCCCGCUCAACGGGGUGAAGUGCCAUUGAUACGG
rnacentral:rRNA from 1 species